UCUCCUACAAUCCCUACUUUUGUACAGCUUUUGUGACAUUUGAAUUUUGAAACAGGGUUUCAACAUCGAUUUGAGGAUUUGGCUCCAUCUUCUCUCUUUCUCAUGUAUAUUGAAUGACUCAAUCUCAUCUCUUUCUCAGAACACCACCGACUUGAAGAUUACAUCUGGGAGAUAUGACAACGAAUAAGUCCGUUCUUCCGAUUCAACAACCAUCAGUUUAUAGUGAAUCAAGUCUGCAAAGAUUGGUGGCUACGGAGAAGAGUUCCUGGCUGUAGAUGGUGAUUGAGGUAGGUUCCGACAGACAAACUGAGGAUUUAAUAAGGUGUGGCCGAUAUUUGAUUCUUUUCAAUCUUGUGAUUUUCGGAAGGUAAAUUGAAGCCACCAACGGGCUUGUAGCCUAGCAGUGUGAUGGUAUCAUGGUGCGCAGAUAAGUUGUUCCUCCCCUGCUUCAAUGGCUGAUGUAUCUGCCUUUCAUGCAACUUCAUUUCUUCCUGUAAAAAAGGCUAAGGCUAUAACAGAUCCAGAGAGAAGAGGGUUUCUAAAAAUGUAGAGAUAGGCGUAGAGAGGCCAUGUGGUGAAAUUUGGCUCAUGAAAUGACAACAGAGUAUGGUGUUUAUUUAUGGACUGUGCUUUGCAUUGCUUUAGGCGCUUUCUACCUUUUUAUUGAUUUCAACCAUUACUAUGGCACACAGGUUGAUGGAUUCAAGUUGAUUAAAAACUCAGGAUCCGUGUGCUGGUAUUUGUUGGAAACGGGUCAGGCUAUUCGUGAAGUGGUUGGGUAGUACAAAGAAAAUACAAAGAUUAUAGCGGAUACAUUUACCUCACUAGGUUUCAAAGUAUAUGGCGGAAUGCAUGCCCCAUAUGUGUGGGUCCACUUCCCUGGUCGAAAUUCGUGGGAUGUCUUCAGUGAUAUUCUUGAGAAAAGUCAUGUUGUGACCACACUUGGGAGUGGGUUCGGACCUGCUGGUGAAGGGUUCGUUAGGGUCAGCGGCUUUCGCCCCAGGAGCAUCGUGUUGGAAGCCUGUAGGAGAUUCAAGGAGCUGAGAAAAUGAAUCCAUUUUCAUAUUAAAUUAAUUCUUCAAUCAACCUGCUUGUUUGUUGGAGGAAUUUAACCUGCUUGUUUUUUUUUUCGAUCUACUAAUUCCCCCUUGAAUGCUGUC
rnacentral:lncRNA from 1 species